UGGAUUCGUCUGCCCAAGGAUGGGUCUGCGGCCUAUCAGGUAGUAGUGGGUGUAAUGUACCUACUAGCCUACAACGGGUACGGGUUGUGAGAGCAAGAGCCCGGAGAUGGAUUCUGAGACAUGAAUCCAGGCCCUACGGGGCGCAGCAGGCGCGAAAACUUUACAAUGCGGGAAACCGUGAUAAGGGGACACCGAGUGCCAGCAUCAUAUGCUGGCUGUCCAGGUGUGUAAAAUACACCUGUUAGCAAGGGCCGGGCAAGACCGGUGCCAGCCGCCGCGGUAACACCGGCGGCCCGAGUGGUGAUCGUGAUUAUUGGGUCUAAAGGGUCCGUAGCCGGUUUGGUCAGUCCUCCGGGAAAUCUGACAGCUCAACUGUUAGGCUUUCGGGGGAUACUGCCAGACUUGGAACCGGGAGAGGUAAGAGGUACUACAGGGGUAGGAGUGAAAUCUUGUAAUCCCUGUGGGACCACCUGUGGCGAAGGCGUCUUACCAGAACGGGUUCGACGGCGAGGGACGAAAGCUGGGGGCACGAACCGGAUUAGAUACCCGGGUAGUCCCAGCCGUAAACGAUGCUCGCUAGGUGUCAGGCAUGGCGCGACCGUGUCUGGUGCCGCAGGGAAGCCGUGAAGCGAGCCACCUGGGAAGUACGGCCGCAAGGCUGAAACUUAAAGGAAUUGGCGGGGGAGCAC
rnacentral:rRNA from 1 species